rnacentral:rRNA from 1 species
UACGUAGGGGGCAAGCGUUGUCCGGAUUUAUUGGGCGUAAAGCGUGCGCAGGCGGUGAUGUAAGACAGAUGUGAAAUCCCCGGGCUCAACCUGGGAACUGCAUUUGUGACUGCAUCGCUGGAGUGCGGCAGAGGGGGAUGGAAUUCCGCGUGUAGCAGUGAAAUGCGUAGAUAUGCGGAGGAACACCGAUGGCGAAGGCAAUCCCCUGGGCCUGCACUGACGCUCAUGCACGAAAGCGUGGGGAGCAAACAGG